GACGAACGCUGGCGGCGUGCUUAACACAUGCAAGUUGAACGGAAAGACCCUGCUUUUGUGGGGUGCUCGAGUGGCGAACGGGUGAGUAACACGUGAGUAACCUGCCCUUGACUUUGGGAUAACUUCAGGAAACUGGGGCUAAUACCGGAUAGGAGCUCCUGCUGCAUGGUGGGGGUUGGAAAGUUUCGGCGGUUGGGGAUGGACUCGCGGCUUAUCAGCUUGUUGGUGGGGUAGUGGCUUACCAAGGCUUUGACGGGUAGCCGGCCUGAGAGGGUGACCGGCCACAUUGGGACUGAGAUACGGCCCAGACUCCUACGGGAGGCAGCAGUGGGGAAUAUUGCACAAUGGGCGGAAGCCUGAUGCAGCAACGCCGCGUGCGGGAUGACGGCCUUCGGGUUGUAAACCGCUUUCGCCUGUGACGAAGCGUGAGUGACGGUAAUGGGUAAAGAAGCACCGGCUAACUACGUG
rnacentral:rRNA from 1 species